AGCGAACGUUAGCGGCGGGCCUAACACAUGCAAGUCGAACGCGAAAGGUCUUCGGACUGAGUAGAGUGGCGCACGGGUGAGUAACACGUAGGUAAUCUACCCUUUGGCGGGGGAUAACGUUCCGAAAGGAGCGCUAAUACCGCAUAAGACCACGGAGUCUCCGGACGCUGUGGGAAAAGGUGGCCUCUUCUUGAAAGCUAUCACCGAAGGAUGAGCCUGCGUCCCAUCAGCUAGUUGGUAAGGUAAUGGCUUACCAAGGCGAAGACGGGUAGCUGGUUUGAGAGAAUGAUCAGCCACACUGGCACUGGAACACGGGCCAGACUCCUACGGGAGGCAGCAGUGAGGAAUAUUGGGCAAUGGGCGAAAGCCUGACCCAGCCACGCCGCGUGAGUGAUGAAGGCCUUC
rnacentral:rRNA from 1 species